rnacentral:miRNA from 1 species
UAGUGGGCGGGGUUGAGCAGAUGUUCCACCAACCGCUCCUCUGUAUCGGCGCAGAGGCCUCCUGCAAUGAAAGUGCACCAUCAUCAUCAUCAUCAUCCUCAUCCUCAUCAUCCUCAUCAUCCUCAUCUCCACCUCUG